rnacentral:lncRNA from 1 species
UACCAUACCCUUGUGAAGCAUGAGUAGCAGGCUGGCUGUAAUUGUACCUGCUAGCACCAGCAGGCACAACAGUUCCAGUGGCAAACUGUUGUGGUUGAGAUUGCUGCUGUUGGUUACAGUAGUCAUAGCCAGUGCCAAGGGGAGCUGCUGUGCCAUAAGGUUGCUGGCCAUACUAUGGUGGUGCACCAGGAUAAGCUCCGAGCUGCAUGUAAACCUGUUGUUGUGUUGCUGGUGCAUCAGGCGCAACCCAGUUUGCCCGAGGGCAGAGAGGAUGGUAGCCCUGUUGGAUUUCUGGCACGAUUCA